AGGCGGGCUGGAACCUCUCGGGGUUACAGCCUUGCUGAAUUAUUCACCCUUGUCUUUUGCGUACUUCUUGUUUCCUUGGUGGGUUCGCCCACCACUAGGACAAACAUAAACCUUUUGUAAUUGCAAUCAGCGUCAGUAACAAAUUAAUAAUU
rnacentral:misc_RNA from 1 species